CAGCAGCCACGGUAAAACGUAGGAUGCAAGCGUUAAUCGGAAUUACUGGGCGUAAGGCGUGCGCAGGCGGUUUGUUAAGACAGAUGUGAAAUCCCCGGGCUCAACCUGGGAACUGCAUUUGUGACUGGCAAGCUAGAGUAUGGCAGAGGGGGGUGGAAUUCCGCGUGUAGCAGUGAAAUGCGUAGAUAUGCGGAGGAACACCGAUGGCGAAGGCAGCCCCCUGGGCCAAUACUGACGCUCAUGCACGAAAGCGUGGGGAGCAAACAGGAUUAGAUACCCCAGUAGUCCCUGUCUCUUAUAC
rnacentral:rRNA from 1 species